rnacentral:rRNA from 1 species
AUUGAACGCUGGCGGCAGGCCUAACACAUGCAAGUCGAGCGGCUCGCCGGACGGGUACGUAAUGCCUAGGAAUCUGCCUGUUCGUGAUGGAUAACGUCCAGAAACGGGCGCUAAUACCACAUACUAUUCACUGCGCCUGUGUCGGAUUGGGUAGGUGUGGGGGGAAAGGCCUACCAAGGCCACGAUCCGUAACUGGUCUGAGAGGAAGAUCAGUCACACUGGAACUGAGACAAGGGCCAGACUCCUAAGGGAGGCAGAAGGGGGGAAUAUUGGACAAUGGGGGAAAGCCGGAUUCAGCCAUGCCGCGGUUUAGAAGAAGGUCUUCGGAUUGUAAAGCACUUUAAGUCGGGAGGCGUUACCAACAGAAUAAGCACCGGCCAACUUCGUGCCAGCAGCCGCGGUAAUUC